AGUGUAGCGGUUAUCACAUCAUUCUUUCAUGGCGAAGAUCGCGGGUUCAAUUCCCGUCGAGA
rnacentral:tRNA from 1 species